rnacentral:rRNA from 1 species
GAUGAACGCUGGCGGCGUGCCUAAUACAUGCGAGUCGAGCGAACAGAAGAGGAGCUUUCUCCUCUGACGUUAGCGGCGGAUGGGUGAGUCACACGUGGAUAACCUACCUAUAAGACUUAGAUAACUGCGGGAAACCUUAGCUCAUCCCGAAUUAUCUAUUGAACCUCAUGUUUCAAUAAUAAAAUACUGUUUUGCUGUCACUUAUAGAUGGAUUCGCGCCGCUUUAGAUAGUUGGUAAGGUAACGGCUUCCCAAGGCAACGAUGCGUAGCCGAUCUGAGAGGGGGAUAGGCCCCACUAGAACGGAGACACGGCCCAGACUACUACGGGAGGCAGCAGUAGAGAAUCUUACGCAAUGGGAGAAAGCCUGACGGAGCAACGCCGCGUGAGGGAUGAAGGUACUCGGAUCGUAAAAGUCUGUUAUUAGGGAAGAACAAAUGUGUAAGUAACUAGGCACGUCUUGACGGUACCUAAUCAGAAAGCAACGGCUAACUACGUG